rnacentral:rRNA from 1 species
GUAGUCAUAUGCUUGUCUCAAAGAUUAAGCCAUGCAUGUCUAAGUAUAAGCAAUUAUACGGCGAAACUGCGAAUGGCUCAUUAUAUAAGUUAUCGUUUAUUUGAUAGUAUCUUGCUACUUGGAUAACCGUGGUAAUUCUAGAGCUAAUACAUGCUAAAAAUCCCGACUUCGGAAGGGAUGUAUUUAUUAGAUUAAAAACCAAUGCCCUCUGAGCUCUCUUGGUGAAUCAUGAUAACUUCUCGAAUCGCAGGGCCUUGCGCCGGCGAUGGUUCAUUCAAAUUUCUUCCCUAUCAACUUUCGAUGUUUGGGUAGUGGCCAAACAUGGUUGCAACGGGUAACGGGGAAU